rnacentral:ncRNA from 1 species
CAAUGGCAAGAUGCACCGUCUGAUCAGCAGUGGCUCACAUCUUCCAUUGAACAAGUAAAUAACUCUGACCAAACGAUGAGCAGUGCGGUCACACGUCCGUUCGGAGAAAUCCGAAGACCUGUGAUUGCUUUCUUGCGCUCAUUUUUAGGUCGCUUU